CCUACGGGAGGCAGCAGUGGGGAAUCUUGCGCAAUGGGCGAAAGCCUGACGCAGCCAUGCCGCGUGAAUGAUGAAGGUCUUAGGAUUGUAAAAUUCUUUCACCGGGGACGAUAAUGACGGUACCCGGAGAAGAAGCCCCGGCUAACUUCGUGCCAGCAGCCGCGGUAAUACGAAGGGGGCUAGCGUUGCUCGGAAUUACUGGGCGUAAAGGGAGCGUAGGCGGAUAGUUUAGUCAGAGGUGAAAGCCCAGGGCUCAACCUUGGAAUUGCCUUUGAUACUGGCUAUCUUGAGUGUGGGAGAGGUAUGUGGAACUCCGAGUGUAGAGGUGAAAUUCGUAGAUAUUCGGAAGAACACCAGUGGCGAAGGCGACAUACUGGCCCAUUACUGACGCUGAGGCUCGAAAGCGUGGGGAGCAAACAGGAUUAGAUACCCUGGUAGUCCACGCUGUAAACGAUGAGUGCUAGUUGUCGGCAGCAUGCUCGUCGGUGACGCAGCUACGACAUAAGACACUCCGCCGUCGGGAGGUACGGUCGCGAGAAUAAACUACAANAGAGUAGACGGCGNGAGACGUGCCGACGACGACGACGAGGGAGGAGG
rnacentral:rRNA from 1 species